CUACGGGGCGCUGCAGUCGAGAAUCUUCCGCAAUGGGCGCAAGCCUGACGGAGCAAUGCCGCGUGAGGGAUGACGGCCCUAGGGUUGUAAACCUCUGUCAGAAGGGACGAAGAACGUGACGGUACCUUCAGAGGAAGCCAUGGCUAACUACGUGCCGAGCAGCCGCGGUAAUACGUAGAUGGCGAGCGUUAUUCGGAUUUACUGGGCGUAAAGGGUCCGUAGGGGGUCUGCCAAGUCUGAUGUGAAAUCCUGCGGCUCAACCGCGGAACUGCAUUGGAAACUGGCGGACUAGAGUGUGCGAGGGGUGAGCGGAAUUCCUGGUGUAGCGGUGGAAUGCGUAGAUAUCAGGAAGAACACCGAUGGCGAAGGCGGCUCACUGGCGCAUCACUGACCCUGAGGGACGAAAGCGUGGGUAGCAAACAGGAUUAGAUACCCCAGUAGUC
rnacentral:rRNA from 1 species